GGGCACUCCACAGAAGGAUGUUAUUAUCAAGUCAGAUGCACCGGACACUUUGUUAUUGGAGAAACAUGCAGAUUAUAUCGCAUCCUAUGGCUCAAAGAAAGAUGAUUAUGAAUACUGUAUGUCUGAGUAUUUGAGAAUGAGUGGCAUCUAUUGGGGUCUGACAGUAAUGGAUCUCAUGGGACAACUUCAUCGCAUGAAUAGAGAAGAGAUUCUGGCAUUUAUUAAGUCUUGCCAACAUGAAUGUGGUGGAAUAAGUGCUAGUAUCGGACAUGAUCCUCAUCUUUUAUACACUCUUAGUGCUGUCCAGGUAAAUACUAAUCAAAAUUGCAACGAUCUUGAUAGUAUGUUCUCUUACUUCAGAGUUGGAAAUUGAAACUGUGUCAGGAUUUGGUCAAAAAGUUUUGUUACAAGUGAAGCUGUCCUACAAGGUCAAUGAUGUAAUGGCAUGUAUUAGCUGAAUCUAAAGUUGAUGUGAGUUCUAAAAUUACACUGAGACCUUGGAGGGUGAAAUUUUUAUCUUCAGUAUGUGUAAAUACUGUAAAAUAGCUAAAUGGAGCUAUUUGAUUUUGAUAUUAGUGAACAUCUACCUGGUGGUUUAAAGUCUUUCUGGUACUGGGUGCUGAGAUGGGAAGAUCAGGACUUUGUGUGUAUGUGAGUUAGUAUACUUGAGUAUCUUGGAAUGCCAAGUUAAAAUUUAUAUGUAGAAAAUUAUACUUUAAAGAUUUGAGUUUUCUUGAUACUAUCUAAUUUUAUUCAAUAACAGGAGAGUCUGCAUAUUUGAGAAAAGGUUAUACACAGAGACAAAAGGAUGUGCCUGACAACUUAAAAAGAGUUGAGCAUAAGAUCAUUAGAAUAAACCUGAAAGGGACAUUUACCUAAUACUUGUCUUUAUUGCAGAUUCUUACGCUGUAUGACAGUAUUAAUGUUAUUGACGUAAAUAAAGUUGUGGAAUAUGUUAAAGGUCUACAGAAAGAAGAUGGUUCUUUUGCUGGAGAUAUUUGGGGUAAUGUCAGAUUUAGUCCAUUCUACCCAAAAUACCAAUAUUAAAAUGUAGUGGUUUUGCUAGUAACCAGUUUAUAAGUUUUUCAUCUUUUCAGGUCCCACUAAGCAGCUGGUCUAACUGGAGUUAAUGGUCUGCUGGAACUUCCAGCAUGCACUGUGGUAGUUAUAUCAGCAUAUACAGGAGCACUGGAACAGAGGGGGCCAGUCUAAAAGAUAAGGUAGGUGGAAUUUUUUUCCCCAAUAUUUGGUGGCUUUGUAAAGUUUUUUAAAAACUACUUGCUGGAAAGGGAAAAAUAUUUAAAAAAAAAACUUUACAAACUUGCUGAAUAUUUGAGUGGAGGGAGGGAAUAGAAUUUUAUUUGAUAAACGUAGAUAAUCUCUGCUUUAGGGAUGAACACAGUGCAGGCCAGAGAGACCAGCUGCUUCAUGGGAUGUGAAAAAUCUACUUUUAUAAAGUAGGGAGAAAUUGACACAAGAUUCUCUUUUUGUGCGGUGGCAACUUUGGCUUUGUUGGGGAAGCUUGAUGCUAUUAAUGUGGAAAAGGCAAUCGAAUUUGUUUUAUCCUGUAUGAACUUUGACGGUGGAUUUGGUUGCAGACCAGGUUCUGAAUCCCAUGCUGGGCAGAUCUAUUGUUGCACAGGAUUUCUGGCUAUUACAAGUCAGUUGCAUCAAGUAAAUUCUGAUUUACUUGGCU
rnacentral:sRNA from 1 species